GACGAACGCUGGCGGCGUGCCUAAUACAUGCAAGUCGAACGAUGGAGCGAGGAGCUUGCUCUUCUUUUAUAAGUGGCGAACGGGUGAGUAACGCGUGGAUAACCUCCCUUUAAGCCGGGGAUAACUAUGGGAAACGGGAGCUAAUACCGCAUAAUAUUUUGACACGCAUGUUUCAUAUUUGAAAGCGGCUAUUGCUCCACUUCAUGCUGGACCUCCGGUGAAUUAGCUUGUUGGUAAGGUAAAGGCUCACCAAGGCAACGAUGCAUAGCCGACCUGGGAGGGUGAUCGGCCACACGGGAACGGAGACACGGUCCAGACUCCUACGGGAGGCACCAGUAGGGAAUCUUCCGCAAUGGGGGAAAGCCUGACGGAGCAACGCGGCGUGAGUGAUGAAGGUCUUCGGAUCGUAAAACCCGGUUAGUAGGGAAGAACAGAUGUGUAAGUAACUGUGCACAUCUUGACGGUACCUAAUCAGAAAGCCACGGCUAACUACGUG
rnacentral:rRNA from 1 species